AUUCCCAAAACUACAACCUACAACAUGUUAAAUCCAAUUUUCAGAAUUAUACAACUUAUAAUUAAAGAAUGUUAUCAUUCUAGGUUCUUCUCUUCUAUUGUUUUCUCCCUUUUUCUCCAAAAACUUGUUUUACGCGAUCCUUAUUUUCUAAUUCUAACUCUCCCCUUUUAUAUAAAUCCUUAACCUACUUAUUUUCUCUUAUUUCCAAAUCUACCCCCAAAGUCUCAAUAUUCUAUUCUAAUAUAUAUGUAUAAUAAAAUACUUCUAUAACAAAUAACAAAUAUAUCUCUAUAACAAAUAUAUUUAUGUACCAGAUAACAUAUAUAUUUCUUCACCAAAUUAGAUAUAUAUUUCUACACCAAAUAACAUAUAUAUUAUACUAAUAAAUACCAACAUAUAACAUAACAAAAUAUCACUCAUCAAAAUAAAUCGACUAAAUUAUAAAAAGACAUCUAAAUUCAAUAAAAUAAAUAAAUAUUAAAAUAGGGCGUUACAAACGUGCUUUCUAUCAUCGAUGAACCAGAGCAAAAUUACCAUUAGAUUCAAUCAAUGGUCAUGAUUUAUACAAAAUAAAAAUAAGAACAUUUAAGAAUUGCCUCGCACAAUCUUGCCCCUAUUAAACUUUUUUAUUUUUGGUAUUCAUCAUCUUCAACCUCCAUUCCAAUUUUUUCGUAAUAAAAAAAAAAAAAAAAACUCCAUUUCAAUUUAGGAGCAAUGCUACAAAAGAGAAUUUGCACAAAAAAUUGAGUGUGUCUUCAAAAGUUUACGGGGUUUGCUAAAAAUCUAGUUUAUGGGUUCAAUUGGAGGUGGUGACUAAUGAAAUUGGAGGUUUAACUCAUCCUUAAAAACCAGUUCAUAAGGUGAGUCACGCCCAGCACUCUUUGGGCUUACGUGAAUCGGUAGGUAUUUGGGCUUACGUGAAUCGAUAGGUAACUCUUGAAUUCGACAGGUUCUGAUACCAUAAUGAAAUUGGAGGCCUAACUCAUCCUUAAAAACUAAUUCAUAAGGUGAGAAUUGUCUCCUCUAUAUUAACUCUUAUCAAGAGUCUUAUCUUUUCGAUGUGGAACAUGAGUUUUUUUCAAUAAUGACCUUUAAAGUUUAAACACGCGGCAUCUUUGAAUUCUACAUAGAAAAAAAAAAUAGAAUUAUAGCGUGUUAUGUUUGUUUCUCUAGAGCAUGAGACAUUUCAUUGUUCAGUUUAUGUUGUCAUGGAAAGGCAUAUGAGUGAUGGGUGUACAUCAUCGAUCGGUGGUUUGAUUCUCGUGAAUAGAACAAAAAAAAUCUGAGCUCAAUGGUACAAAUCCUUACGAUGAAAGGUGAGAUAUAGUAGGAUUGUGUGUGGAUAGUUGUAAAUGUUAUCUUUUUUAAUUCUAGUAGAUCAAAAUUGUUAAUCUCAUUUCAUGGUAAAAAUUAAAUAGUCCAUUUGUGAGGGACUCAAUAGCUCCUUCACCUUAGACGUCACCCUUAAUUAAUAAGAAACUAACGGCGAGGGACUCAACUCCCUCACCUUAGACGUCACCAUUGAUUAAUAAGAAACUAACGAUUGAAGUAAAUAAACGAGAAAGAAACUCAAACUUCUUUCUAAACUUUCUUUCUCUUUCGUUCAUCAAGGAGGGGUGGUUUUUGACCUAGAAUCACCCCUCUACAUCUUUUUUCCCAUUUUCUUUCAAUCUAAAUAAGUGGUUUUCACAUACAAGUGUUUCCUUUUGUGUUUUUUGUGAUUUUGUCGUCUAAGUACAACGCUGUGUUGGUCGUCGUCUUGUGCGGCGUUUGAUUUCACGUCUUGUCGCGGCGUUCGUUUAGUUUCUAUUGAAAGAUUGACAUCGGUCAAUUAUAAAUCCAAUCAAUGAUUUGGGUGUGAAUGUUGCCGAUCUAGAAACAUGAGUAUUUCGGUGACUUAGAUUUAAUCAUAUUAGUUGUAGCAUUUUGUCAUUUUAUGUUAUUAACUUGGGUGCUGUGAGUUUGUUCGCAGUUUUACCCUUUACGUUUCUAGCGAUUUUUGUAUCUGAUGUACUCUAUCAAUCUGAAUGAAUGAAUAUCGUUUUGUUUUUAUUAAAAAAAAAAAAUAAAAAAAAAACUAACGGUUAAAAGUUUGCUCUACAUGCCUACAAUGAUAAUAAAUAGAGAUAAUUUACUACAACUUUUAAAACAAUGAUGCUCAUUUAUAGGAACUUUACCAUAAAUAAGUCUCCAAAGAAAAAAUGAUUUGGAUUGAGGAAUUGAAGGUUUCCAAAUAAGCUAUGUCCAUGAUUGAUCAUAUGCAGAAACUUGACAAAAACUAUCAGCAUCCUAAACUGAAAGAGAACCUGAUGAAGAACCCUUCUAAGCAAGAUAUUCAGUGGAAAACUAUACCCCGAUAUUUAUCAAAUUUCAUAUUUCACCAAUUCAACUCUCUCUAUCAAUAGUAUAUAUAUAAAGUAAGAUUUUUUAUGACACGUGUCACUUCCACGUUUAUUCGCAAUAUUUUUAUUUUUUUUCUAAUUUUUCAAAACCAAUAUUUAAUUUGGCAUAAAUAUCUCAACAAACUUUUGAUCUUAUCUAUUAAAUAUUUUACUUAACUAUUUAUUGAAUUCCUAAUAUUUUAUGUAAUAGAAAUAUCUCAACAAAAUUACAUACGAUACCCUUCAAUUAAAAAUCAUCAAUCAAUCAAUAGUAUAUAUAGUAAGGUUUCUUAUGCCACGUGUCACUUUCAUGUUUAUUCGCAAUAUUUUUAUUAUUUUUAUAUUUUUUAAAAUCAAUAUUUAAUUUUGUAAAAAAAAAAUCAAUAUUUAAUUUGGCAUAAAUAUUUCAACAAAAUUUUAACCUUAGGGAUGGCAAUGGGUACCCUAUCCCAAUGGAUAGGGUACUAUAGUACCCUAUCCAUUGGGUACUCAUUGCCAUAAAUGUAUUGGUCUAUUCUCCACUAUCAUAAAUAUAAAGUGAAAUAUAUUGAAUUGGAAAUGAUGAAAGUAGUAUUAAUUAGAGUUAUAAUUGAAAAAAAAAGUAAUUAAUAAUUGUAUUGAAAAGUUAAAUGCAUCAAGAUUUUUGAGACAAUAUUUUUUACAAAUAACUUAGUUAUUAUGGGACGGAGGGAGUAACACUUUAACAUGACAAUGAAAAGUAAAUUUAAGAAUUAAAAUGCAAGAAAUGAAGAGAAUGUUUCUCUAACACAAAACUAUUUUUUUUUUCUCUUUCACUUAUACACUUUUUUAAUGUGUAAAAUAAAAAAUAAAAAAAACUUAUGUAUAAUGAGACGGAGGGAGUAGUUAGUAAGAACAAAGUCGUCAAGGAACCAAUUAACUCUUGAUUUCACUUCCCAAAAACGUCUUGAUAGUGCUAUACUCCCUCCGUCCCAAAUUAUAAGCAAAAAAACAAAAAUCACACUUAUUAAGAAAACUAAAACAUAAAAAUUUGGAGUAUAGUUUUUUGUGUUUUCGUUGGAAAAAGUUUUAUAGGAAGAUGUAAAAACAAUUUUCAUUGGCUAUUGAUUAUGGAAAAAAUGAAAGAAAGAGAAAAUUGAAUGUAAUUUGCAUUUAAUUUUAUGAGAAUAACAAAAAAAAAUCUUGGAAAAGAUUAAAAUUUGUCUUUUUUCCUUAUAUUUUGGGACAAAGAAAAUGAAUUUCUUUUGCUUAUAUUAUGGAACGGAGGGAGUACUUGGUUAAGCUGGAUUGAGCAUUCAAUUCUAAUUUAAGGGCCUUUAAUUUACCUUAAAGAAUAAACAUAGGACAACCAACCACAUAAUUAUUUAUACCAAACAUUUUCCACCACGUGGGUGAUAUCUGGAAGAUGAGAGUCCAUUUAAGUGAGUCAAUGUGACGAAAAAAAAGAUAAAAUGGCAAUUUUAGGAUCGUAAAUUUCUGAAAAUAAUGGAAGUAGUAAUUCUUUUAACGUUUUCAUUGUUUUAAAAAAAUUAUCCAAUCAUAUUUUAUAUGCAAUUUUUGUUUUUUAGAUUAAUUAAACAAUAAAUUUUGUUAACCAGUGUCCUAAGGGUGAUGAUUAAGGAAUUCAAAUGUAAAAGUUUUGUCUUGUAAUUGUAGGAUGUUACAUUUGAUCAAGUAAUGAUUAUACUACUUUUUAUUAAAAACUUACUUGAUUUAGUUGUUUAACCAGUGUGAACACUAGUUAACAUUCUCCUUAAAUAAUUGAUGUUUCUGAAAUAUAAUAUAUAUAUAUAUAUAUAUAUAGCUCAGAUACAUCACUUAUUUAAUGAAGAGUUUUUUUUUUUUCCUUCUCUUAAUUAACGAAUAAAACUAACACUUAUAUAUCUACCAAAAAAAAAAAAAAACUAACACUUAUAUAAUAUAGUUCGGAUACAAUAUAUUUAUAUAAUAUAAUCCGGAUACAUCACUUAUAUAAUCAACAUUGCUAUUUACCGCGACAAGUUUUGUCCCGAAUGCAUCAAGAAUGAAAAUAAGCCAAUUAAAAACAGCUGUUAGUGGAAAUCAUGGGAGGUGGGGGAGAAAAAGAUGGAAAUCAUAAACUAAUGGAUGGAUGGCAUACAUGCCACAUGUGUCUGGAAAAUCUCGGGACAGUUUUAUUUCGUGUGAAAUAGCAUUUUUCCUUAUAUAAUAUAGUCCAGGUACAAGGCAACUAUCACCGGAUGAGGUUUUAUCUUUUUAUUAAUGAAUAAAACUUUUUUUAAGAAGCUAAAUGCAAAAUAUAUUAAAAACCAAAUUAGUUAAGCACAAGAUGUGCCAAACGAAAAACUGUGUAUAACGUCAAAGUAACAAACUCGAUAAAGAAAGAAACCACAAAUAAUAAAAAUCAAAAGCGAAAUUCAGUUUAUGUGUCUUUAGCCACCACAAAAAAUGAAAUUUAAUAUUGUCGAGAAGUUGAUCCUUAGAAGACACGUUGUUAUUGAAAUUUCUCGAGUUUCUCUCCUUCCAAAUUCUCUCCUUCGAAAUAACUCAAAGACAUGUCAGCACACCACUUUAAAACAAGAGCUAAUGUCCUUCCUGAAAGCAUGCGCGCCAAAAAAUUGUUGUGCGUGACAACCAAUAUUUGAUGGAACGACGGUAGUUUUACCCUACCAGAUCAACAAACACCCUACCAGAUCAACAAACAGGGAAAAUAAAUAAAAAAUAUUUUUGCAAAGUAAUUAAACGGAUUCUAAUGUUUAAUAGGAACCGAUCGAGGACAACAUAGAAAUCAUGCUGGAAUUUGAAGAAGAAAUACAAACCUAAUUAAAGAGAGGGGCUAAGUAUUUCCAAGCUGGAACUUGAAAAAGAAAAACCAUGCUCUAAUUAAGUAACUAAGUAAGGUAGUACAUUACAACAAUUGAGAUAAGUACGACACAUUAUGAUGAUUAUGACUUAUGAGCUGUUAAAUGAUGUUGUAGGAUUACUUUUUUCUUGUCAAAAAUAAAUAAAUGAUGUUGUAGGAGAAACAUUAUUAUAAACAUUAUUAUAACUUACAAGGACUAAUGUUUAAAAAAAAAAACUUACAAGGACUAAUAAUGAGACAGAACGAAAGUGUACGUGAGUGUAGGAGACACGUUAUUAUAACAUUUUAUAAAUAUUUAAACGUUGAUAAUAAUUUUGUCGAUCUAUAAACCACUACCAAUUCCUAGUUAAAUAUAUAAUAAUUUUUAUUAUAUUUGUUAGUUGAUGGUAAAAGAUGAAUAUAAUUUGUUACUAUAUUUUUUUUUGACAAAAUAAUUUGUUGCUAUUUAAAAUUCAUAAAUAUAGUCUAUACAUAUAAUUUUAAUAAAAAUAAAAAUUCACCCAAAAAAAAAUCAAAAAUUUCAUAAAAAAAUAAAUAUUGUUUAUAAUUCACGAGCGUUGUCGCAGUACAAAAAUGGAUAGAUGGAUACCCAGUACUAGUAAUUAAUGAAGUUAAUUGGUAAAAUUUCACUCUUACUGGUGGUUGAUGGUAGGGGUGUUUACGGUGCGGUUUGGUUCGGUUUUGAGAGAAAAAGUCAUCCAAACCGCAAGAUAAAAAAACAUGCGGUUUGUGUAACACCCACAGCUGACGAGGGCAGGGGAGUGGUCACCGGUGCACAAGGCACGCCAAUGAGCGGCUCCCGACAGCUUCUAGAGGAACCGAAUCACAUCUGAAUGAGAGGGAUCCUGAGGCCGUGUAGGUGUGGGACUACAUGAAUGAAGGAAUGCUUAUAAGAAUUGUUUGGUAAUACCUAUAUCAACAAGGUGCAUCUUCUUUUUGGUACCCUAUUCCAUAAGAACUCCACAGUUAAGCGUGCUUGACUUGGAGUAGUCUUUGGAUGGGUGACCUACCGGGAUUCCCGAUAAGCAUGCGAGUGAGGACAAAACACGCUGAAAAGACUCGUGUUGGUUUGUAGGGUCAGUCGACAAUGCUUAAAGUCGUCUGGGAUGUUACAGUUUGGUUUGGUUCGGUUGGCUUUAAAAUAAAAUCCGAACCAAACCAAACCAAUAUGGUUUGGGUUGUAUCGGUUGGUGCGGUUUUUUUCGUGACGAUACGAUUUUUUGUUUCCAACAUUAAAAUCAAGAUAAAAAGCUGAAACACAAUAUAUUUUCAACAAUGUUUUAAAUUUCAUCAAACAUUACAAUUUCAUUUUCAUUACAAUGUUUCCAACAACAUAAACCAAAUUAAAAACGCGGACAAAAAGUAAUCUUAUUUUGUAAGAAAUGCAAAAGACUGAGAUGUUCUCAUUCUCUAAAAGUUAAGUAGCACAUAAAUACAUUUUUAAAUAAAAAGCAAAUAAUGAACUUAACAAGAGAAAAAAAAUAUGACAUUUUAUAAAAGUUUUCAUUGAGUUUCUAUGAGUAUUGGUCUUGAUGACAUAUGUUUAAUUAACAUUUUUCUUAUGUUAUGGUUUGGUUUGGUUUUGUAUCUAUUUGACAGUCUCUUUGUACUUUGAGCGACCUCUUUAGUACGCCUUAUGCUAAAGAGGUGUCUCUCUUAUUGUGAAUAUAUAUCAUUUUACCUUCUUAAAAAAAAGUUAAUUGGUAAAAAAAAAAAAAAUUUCUCUCUUGAUUUAUAUGAAAUGACAUUUUUUUUUGGAACAUGGAGGGUAUUGAUUUUUACACCUUUUCAAAAGCCACUCAAGGAUGAAUAUAGAUUUUUCAUGCAUCAAACACAAGAAUCAUUAGCAUAACAUGCUUUGGAAAACACACACAUAUACUUAAAUUAAUGGUUGGAGUAUCAAAUUUAAAAAUAUUGUUGUCAAUACAUACCCCGUCAAUCCUCCUUUUUUACCCAAUAAACAUUGAAAUGUUGCUUCUUUCGUUAAGCAUAAAAACAUCAAAGUCUAGCAAAAUGUUGUUUUUGCGAUGACACAUUUCAUAUAGUUUAAAGGAUGCAUGAUUCGAUUACAAAAACAAAAUACUAAUAAUUCUAGCACAAAGUUUAAAGCUAAGAUUAUAAAGCUUCAUAGCAUGUGGAUAUUCAUUUAGAAAUAUAGGAUUAGGAUUGCCCCUUUCAUCACGGGUCUAAUAGCACCACUUGUCACUACAUGUUAAAAAUGUCCUCUAGUACAACACCGCUUUUUACUUGAUUCCCCUUGUCCAUGAAAAAAUCAAACAAUAUUUGGACACAAAAAUUUGCCCCCACUUUCCUUUUUCUUCUGCCCUAGUUUGUUUGAAAACUCAUAUUGAUCAAAUUUGGCUAUGAAUUCAAACAAAAAAUUCACUCUGCCCAUUGCAUGUGUGGGACCCACAUAUAAAUCCAUGAAGGAUUUCAAUGUCCAUCCAAGUCAAUGAUUCAACAUAUAACAUUGAAUAAUUUAAUUCCAAUUUGCAGUAUUAUGAUUUAGAUUGAUUGCUGCAAUACGGUCCGUGAAUGUAACUCACGAGAAAGAGGUAUCAAGGUAUUUUAUUUUAUUUUUAACAAAUAAAAUUUCAAGGUCUUGUUCACCAUAUAAACCUCCUCACUCUCACUCAAUUCUCUUAAGUGUAUGACUUCAUAGUAAACUACACUACUUUCUUUAAAACAUGGCUAACUAUGCUAUAGCCAAUGUUUUGAUCCUUCUCUUGAACUUGAGUACCUUACUCAAUGUUCUUGCUUGCCCUUAUUGUCCUUACCCAAGCCCUAAACCACCUUCACACCACCCUCCUAUUGUUAAGCCACCAGUUCACAAACCACCAAAGCAUUCUCCUACUCCUAAACCACCAGUUCAUAAACCACCAAGAUAUCCUCCUAAACCAUCACCUUGUCCACCCCCAUCAUCAACACCAAAACCACCUCAUCAUCCCAAACCCCCAGCAGUACACCCACCACAUGUUCCAAAACCACAUCCACCUUAUGUUCCAAAACCACCAAUUGUUAAACCUCCAAUAGUACAUCCACCUUACGUACCAAAACCCCCAGUUGUGAAACCACCACCAUAUGUCCCUAAACCACCUGUUGUGAGACCACCCUAUGUUCCUAAACCACCAGUUGUACCUGUAACACCACCUUAUGUUCCUAAGCCACCAAUUGUUUUCCCACCACAUGUUCCUCUACCUCCAGUUGUACCAUCACCACCACCUUAUGUACCAACACCUCCAAUUGUGAAACCACCAAUUGUUUUUCCACCACAUGUUCCUCUACCUCCAGUUGUGCCUGUAACACCACCUUAUGUGCAACCACCACCUAUUGUAACUCCACCAACACCAACACCUCCAAUUGUGACACCACCAACACCACCUAGUGAAACACCUUGUCCUCCACCACCACUUGUACCUUAUCCACCACCACCAGCACAACAAACAUGUUCCAUUGAUGCUUUGAAGUUGGGUGCAUGUGUUGAUGUGCUUGGUGGACUCAUACAUAUUGGUAUAGGUGGAAGUG
rnacentral:lncRNA from 1 species